ensembl:snRNA U2 U2 spliceosomal RNA
AUUGCUUCUUGGCCUUUUAGCUAAGAUCAAGUGUAGUAUCUGUUCUUAUCAGUUUAAAAGUUAUCAUUGGCUGGGCACGCGGUGGCUCAUGCCUGUAAUCCCAGCACUUUGGGAAGCCAAGGCAGGUGGAUCAUUUGAGGUCAGGAAUUCAAGAACGGCCUAACCAAC